ACACGUAGGGGCCUGACGUUGUUCGGAAUCAUCGGGCGUAAAGGGCGCGCAGGCGGCCGUCCAAGUCCGGUGUUAAAUGGUCGGGCUCAACCCGAUCAUGCGCUGGAAACUGGGCGGCUUGAGUCCCGUAGGGGAUGCCGGAAUUCCAGGUGUAGGGGUGAAAUCUGUAGAUAUCUGGAAGAACACCGAUGGCGAAGGCAGGCAUCUGGCCGGAGACUGACGCUGAGGCGCGAAGGCGCGGGGAGCGAACAGGUUUAGAUACCCUGGUAGUCCGCGCAGUAAACGAUGCGCACCAGGUGUCGGGCGGCAGCGCCCGGUACCGGAGCUAACGCGAUGAGUGCGCCGCCUGGGGAGUAUGCCCGCAAGGGUGAAACUCAAAGGAAUUGACGGGG
rnacentral:rRNA from 1 species